rnacentral:lncRNA from 1 species
UAUAACUCUUUAAAUACAUGACUAAUUUGUUUCUUUUAACCGACCGUCCAUAAAGCAAGUGGCAAAGGGUUUGAUGGUUGGUACCUGAGGUUCCAAGUUCGAAUCCUAAUUGAUUCAUAUAUCCAAGUAAGCUUAUUUCUAAAUGAAAUGAACAAAGUGAGUAGCGUGCUAAAAUUGUUUCUUGAACAUAUUCUUUUGUCUACCUGAAUGUCUUAUUCAACAUAUCUAUUUCGUUCAUAUAUAAUA